GAUGAACGCUGGCGGCGUGCCUAAUACAUGCAAGUCGAGCGAACGGACGAGAAGCUUGCUUCUCUGAUGUUAGCGGCGGACGGGUGAGUAACACGUGGAUAACCUACCUAUAAGACUGGGAUAACUUCGGGAAACCGGAGCUAAUACCGGAUAAUAUUUUGUACCGCAUGGUUCAAAAGUGAAAGACGGUCUUGCUGUCACUUAUAGAUGGAUCCGCGCUUCAUUAUCUAGUUGGUAAGGUAACGGCUUACCAAGGCAACGAUGCAUAGCCGACCUGAGAGGGUGAUAGGAAACACUGGAACUGAGACACGGUACAGACUCCUACGGGAGGAAGCAGUAGGGAAUAUGCCGCAAUGGGCGAAAGAAUGACGGAGAAACGCCGCGUGAGUGAUGAAGGACUACGGAUCGUAAAAAUCUGUUAUGAGGGAAGAACAUAUGUGUAAGAAACUGUGCACAUCGUGACGGUACCUAAUCAGAAAGCAACGGCUAACUACGUG
rnacentral:rRNA from 1 species